GCGAUGAUGAUGUUAAGGCGUAACAUCGCUGCCCGGAAAGCAGAAGGUGCGGGUUCGAGUCCCGCCUGGCGCA
rnacentral:tRNA from 1 species